rnacentral:snoRNA from 1 species
GCCCUCUCAGGGUCGCACCUGGAGAGUUUCCAGUACUCUACCAGUCUUGACUAUGGGAGGGAGAGUCAAGCAGAGGUGUAUCCAUUCCAUUCCUAGCUUGGGCAGUGGCUAGCAAGUGGAAGACCACAUUGUACAAGU